AGAUGAAAAUGGAGGACGUAAAACCUACCGAUCAUCUAUCGAAGUUGUAGAAUCUGGCAUAUUACACCGUUUCGAAAUUUCGAGUGCCAUUUUUAUCGAUCCUGUUCGUGUACUCAAUCGAUCGUAUACCAGUCUUAGGGUUUCUCCGUCUACCUACUACUCCCGUUUAUUCGAAUCUAAACAUGCUGAUCAAGCAAGCACAGUCUCUUCAGAUAAAAUUUCUAGGAAGCAAAAACGUAAGCGGAGAAAACCUCACAUCCUGAACGAAAGAGACAAGUCGCUGAUCAACGCCACCAGGUGAGAGCAGAUGGAUCGCUGAUUAGUGAUUUAGACCUAUUCUUUCAUCAUAGGCCUUACGAACGCAUUAUUUUGGGCUACUGUGAUGGUGUGGUGAGCUUCUGUGGUGUGGAGAUAAAUUGAGUUGCUCAAUUCCUCUUAGUUCUAGUUUCUUCUAGCUUUGAAGGUAUUUGUUUGUUGAUUAUGCUGGUGGAUGGUGACCUUUUGUUUGGCAUGAACUCUGAACGCCUGUCAAAGGUUAGACCAAUAAAGGAUAGGCAAGUCAUUAUAAGCAUUCCAGGAGAUUACUCAAGGAAGCCUUCGAUUGGAGGUAUUCUUUCUGGUGCUUAAUGCAAUUUAUAAUGUUAAGCAAGCAAUAGCUUACUUUACUAUUCUCCUUGCAUAAUCACAUACGCACAACUCACAAUUACAAACUAGUUGGUUCAACAACUCAUUUACUACCCUUAAUGGGUCUCUAUUGGAAUUGAGGAAUUAUGUUGUUCUUGUUUA